CAUCAUAUCCUUUUCCAUGGUUGUUUUUGCUUCAUCUCUUUCACAAACCAGAGGGAAAAAAAACUGAAAAAUCAGAGUUCGCUGAAAAAAGGUUAAAGAGAGAUCAAACAAAGCAGAUUGAAAGAGAAACACCAACAACGGAUGAAAGUCCUUCUGAAAUUCAAUUGAGAAAGCAAUAACAAAGAAAUUGCAGUAAUUAUUUAGGCAAGCAGUCGGAAGAGAAAACCCAGUUUUUGUUUUUCUCUGGGAUGAUAGUGUUUCACUGUUUUUUUCUUAGGGAAGAUUAUAGUGUAUUUGCUUAGAUCUUAAGAGAUGGAGAAAGAAGAGAGGAGCCAAAGAGCAUGCAAAACGAUAGAGCCAGAGGUGUUUUUACAGUGGGGAAUAGAAAGAGGCUAAGAU